GUCUGACCUACACCACAGAUCACGGCAAUGCCAGAUCCCCAACCCACUGAGCAAGGCCAGGGAUCAAACCCGCAACCUCAUGGUUCCUAGUCAGAUUUGUUUUUGCUGCGCCAUGAUGGGAAACUCCCUAUUUGUGUGUAUUGUAUGUAUUACAAUACAUGUAAAGGGAUUACAUUUUCUUGUCUUAAAAAUAUGUUAUCACGGCUUGCUCUAGAACCCAAGCAGACCAACCAACAAAUGUGUGUGAAUGGAGUUCCUGUUUAAGGAAAAAAUCUGAUAACUUGAACAGAAUGUGAACCACUUUGAUAGAUGCUACCACAACCGCAAGGAAUGUCUUCAAGGAUGUCAUUUCAGACAUCAUGGUGAGUGGUUUUGUUGGGAAGGGGUGCGGAAGGGAACUUUUCUUUGCAGCUCAUAUCAUACUCUGGAAGCAGAUUCCUGCUUGAAUGGAGGGCUAGUGCUUUUCUAUAGAAUGGAAAAGGUUCCAGCCUGAUUCUUGAUAAUGUAUAUAUUGAAUAUGCUUAAAUAUUCUAUUAAAUAGUGAUUAGGACAUAAGUGAAUUUUCAUUCUAAUAAAGAUGCUAUGUUGAA